GAUGAACGCUAGCGACUGGCCUAACACAUGCAAGUCGAGGGGCAGCACAUGCGUAGCAAUACAAUGGUGGCGACCGGCGCACGGGUGAGUAACACGUAUGCAACCUACCUGUAAGAGGGGAAUAACCCGGAGAAAUUCGGACUAACACCGCAUAAUACCUCGAAGCUGCAUGGCUUUGAGGUUAAAUAUUUAUAGCUUACAGAUGGGCAUGCGUAACAUUAGAUAGUUGGUGAGGUAACGGCUCACCAAGUCAACGAUGUUUAGGGGUUCUGAGAGGAAGGUCCCCCACACUGGUACUGAGACACGGACCAGACUCCUACGGGAGGCAGCAGUGAGGAAUAUUGGUCAAUGGGCGAGAGCCUGAACCAGCCAAGUCGCGUGAAGGAAGAAGGUUCUAUGGAUUGUAAACUUCUUUUGUAAGGGAAUAAAAAAGCUUACGUGUAGGCUAUUGUAUGCACUUUACGAAUAAGGAUCGGCUAACUCCGUGCCAGCCGCCGCCGUAA
rnacentral:rRNA from 1 species